UACGAAGGGGGCGAGCGUUGCUCGGAAUUACUGGGCGUAAAGCGCACGUAGGCGGCUUUGUAAGUUAGAGGUGAAAGCCCGGGGCUCAACUCCGGAAUUGCCUUUAAGACUGCAUCGCUAGAAUUGUGGAGAGGUAAGUGGAAUUCCGAGUGUAGAGGUGAAAUUCGUAGAUAUUCGGAAGAACACCAGUGGCGAAGGCGACUUACUGGACACAUAUUGACGCUGAGGUGCGAAAGCGUGGGGAGCAAACAGG
rnacentral:rRNA from 1 species